GUGCCUUGCUCGGGUCAGCAGCGGGGGAUCUGUGGACGGGUCCCCACACCUGGAAGAGACAAGAGACAUGGUCUCUCCCGACCUUUUACAACCAUCCCUUGAAGGGGAAAUGGUUGUACCCAUUUUGUAGGUUCAGAAAUUGAAGUUGAGGGACCCACACUUAAACUGUGGGUCAGGGGAGGCUGGGAGUGGGAGGGGGCUCACACUGCAGCUAGCUCCUUCCUCAGCGCCUCCAGGAGGCCGUCCAGCCCCUCUCCCGUCAGACAGGACAGCAGCAGGAGGCGCUGGCUGCUGUCACUGGGGCUCUGGGCUCCCACAGAGGCUACGACGGUGGCCAGGAAGUUGCAACUGGAGGGAGAGGCCAGGUCAGAAGCAUCCAGCAUGGCCAGAAUGAGGUCAGCCUGCUCUAGCCUGCGGGAGCAAGGUCAACUGAGCGGGGAUCCCAGGUUGAGCAAUUGAAGGCACUGGGUGGAGGGACAGUUAGAGGGGCCAGGCAGAGCACUGGGGGAGCUGCGAAGCGUGAGGUCGGGAGGGAGGAGUAGAGUACCAGGGGACCGGCAGAAUGUUGGGGGCCCAAGCCGAGCACAGGGGGUGGGGCAGAGCAAGAGGGGCGGGGCACAGUGCAGGGGGAAGGGCAGAGCAAGAGGAGCGGUCACGGUGCGGGAGCGGGGCAGAGCAGGAGGGGCUGGGCACAGUGCAGUGAGUAGGGCAGGGCAGGAGGGGCGGGGCACAGCACAGGAGGGCGGGGCAGAGCAAGAGGGGCAGAGCACUGUGCAGGGGGAAGAGCAGAGCAAGAGGGACAGGGCACAGCACAGGGGCUGGGACAGAGCAAAAGGGGCCGGGUACAGCACUGGAGUGGGGCGACCAUGAGUGGCGGGGCAGAGCAAGAAGGACCAGACACACCACAGGGUAAGGGGUAGAGAGCACCAGGGGUGGGGCAGAAUGUAGGGGGUGGACAGAGCACAGGGGAUGGGAUAGACCGCAAGGGGCAGAGCGGAGUGCCAGGGCGGGACAGAGCACGAGAGGGCGGGGCAGAACGUGAGGGCUGGGCGGAGGGCUUAGGGAUGAGAAACAUGUCCGGAGGGCCGGGGGCAGGACUUAAUCAGAACUAAAUCACUGGCCGGGCACAGUGGCUAACGCCUGUAAUCCCAGCACUUUGGGAGGCCGAGGCAGGCGGGUCACCUGAGAUCAGGAGUUCGAGACCAGCCUGGCCAACAUGGUGAAACCCCCAUCUCUACUAAAAAUACAAAAAAUUAGCCUGGCAUUGUGGUGGGCGCCUCUAAUCCCAGCUACUCGGGAGGCCCAGGCAGAAGAAUCACUUGAACCCGAGAGGCGGAGGUUGCAGUGAGCCGAGAUUGUACCACUGCACACUCCAGCCUGGGCAACAAGAGCGAAACUCCGUCUCAAAAACAAAAACAAAACACCAGGCCAGGUGCGGUGGGCUCACAACACUUUGGGAGGCCGAGGCUCAGGAGUUAGAGACCAACCUGGCCAACAUAGUGAAACCUCAUCUCUACUAAAAAUACAAAAAAAAAAAAAAAAUAGUUCGGCGUGGUCGCUCCCGCCUGUAAUCCCAGCUACUUGGGAGGCUGAGGCAGGAGACUUGCUUGAACCCGGAAGACAGAGCUUGCAGUGAGCUGAGAUACCGCCACUGCACUCCAGCCUGGGCGACAGAGCAAGACUCGGUCUCGGAGUAAAAAAAAAAAAAAAAAAAAAGAACCAAAUCCCUGAGAUCCAUGCUUGAUAGGGCUUAGCAGGUUCUCUGAUUCAGGAAGAAUGAAAAAUAAACGCAACAGGGAGAAAAGGCAGAGAAAGGGCCCCGCGUUCCCCUCCCAUCACCACCCUGUCCGCCCACCUCUCCCGGGCGCGCCGCACGCCCUCCUGCUCCACGGGCCCCACGCCCUCCCGCAACCCAGCCGUGUCGCUCAGCAGCACAGGAAAUCCGGCCAGGUCGACUGGGGUCUCCAGCACGUCACGGGUGGUCCCUGGCUCCGGGGACACGAUGGACACAGGCUUCCGACCUGGGGGAGGGUCAGAAGAAGAGGAGAGGGUGGAGACAAGGGAGCUCCUCCCCCAGGUUCUACCCCAUGUCUGGAGGGAGCUUUAGACCUGAACAACUAACUCAAUAACCCAGCUCUUGGCCC
rnacentral:lncRNA from 1 species